CACAUGCUUCGGACACGAACCACUUGGGUAACUGAUUCUACUUACGAGAUUGGGAGGGUGGUGGAGAGAGGGUGCCCUCAAGGGGGUGUCCUCUCACCGCUUCUCUGGGAUCUGGUCGUAAGUGAAAUUCUGCAAAAACUGCAUCAUCGGUUCCCUCAACUGUACUCACAGGGCUUUGCCGACGAUCUCACAACAGUGGGACGGGGCAUUGACCUCGGUACAGUGGGGAGUCAUGUGCAGAGAGCAGUAAAUCUUGUUAGUGAUUGGUGCAAAGAAGUGAGCUUGUCAGUCAAUGAUAAGCUUGCCCUGGUACUAUUCACUAAGAAAUACAAAUUCACUGCUCCUGUGAUCAAGUUGGAUGGUAUUCCCAUCCCUUAUCAAAAGCAGGUAAGAUAUCUUGGGGUCUUAUUGGAUCACAAGUUGAAUUGGGGCCCACUAUGCAGGGCUAGGGCACAAAAAGGUUUGCGUGCCCUGGCCCAGUGCAGGAGGGCCAUUGGUAAAACUUGGGGUCUUUCCCCAAAAAUCACAAAUUGGAUCUACAAAUCCAUAAUUCGCCCGGCCAUGGAAUAUGGGUCACUAUUGUGGGCUCCGGCUACACAGGUGAAGUCCCACAUGGCCCAGCUGCAAAGAGUACAAAGGUUUGCCAUGCUUGGUACAACCGGUGUAAUGUCUAGCACUCCUACUGCAGCCCUGGAGUGUCUACUGGGGCUUGCCCCAGUGGAUAUCCGGGUACAGCAAGUUGCACUACGUACCUACCAUCGCCUCGCUCACCACGGCCAAUGGAGAAAAUGGUCUGGGGGUGAUCGGACGAUGGUGCUAAAACAUAACAAGUUUGUAGAAAUCAUGGCAUCUGGCAUUCCAGAAUUCCAGAUGCCAUGUGAGAAACUUGUUAAUCCACCAGCAGAGAGGAACUUCUCAACCUCCAUCUGUUCGGCGCAAGAUUGGGAGGAUGGUAGCGUGCCCACGGAUGCCGCUGAUGUGAGCUGUUUUACAGACGGCUCACGGAUGGGCGAGAGCUCGGGUGCGGCUUACUACUUCACAUACAACAACCUUGUCCAGGAAGCUGUGAGGUGCUCUAUUCCUCUGGGAUGGGCACCCACGGUUUUCCAGGCAGAAAUUAUGGGUGUUAUCAGGGCCUCUGAAAUGUUGACCGACAAUUCUCAGAACUAUGGCUUGAACGUUGACUUCUUCAUUGAUAGUCAGGGUGCCAUUAAAGCAGUCACUAGCCCAUGGCCAGUUUCAUCACUGACUGCUGAGGCUAUUGAGAUGCUAAAUCAUAUUAGGAAGACUAAGAAGGUAACACUUCAUUGGAUCCCCUCUCACCAUGGAUAUGAAGGGAAUGAAGUGGCUGAUUUGUUGGCCAAGGAAGGUACUCUUACUGAGUAUCUUGGCCCACAGCCCUCUAUUCCUCUUUCCAGAAGCACUGUAAUCUCCAGCAUUGUAAACUGGGCAAGAUUGCAGCAUACCAAAUCGUGGAAAAGCAGCAAGGGUUGUUUAACUUCCAAAGCUUUUCUCUUUGCCCCUUUAUCAGGGCUUAGCAGAAAGCUUUUAACCCUAAAUCGAAAUAAUCUGCGAUCAGUAAUACAAACCUUAACCGGGCAUUGUACUUUAAACGGGCACCUUAGGACAAUGGGAUUAGUUGAUGAGGCCACGUGCCAAUGCGGCCGUGGCCCUGAGACUGUAUUUCAUUUUCUUGGAUCCUGUGAUCCUGUGACAAGUACUGUGCCCUAAGGUUAGAACUCUUUGGGAGGCACGAUUUGCCACCAGAGCAAAUAGUUACUAUGCCUCUGCCCGAUCUGAUUCAAUUUAUAAUCAGAUCAGGGCGGUUUGUUGAUCAAGCUAGAUCGGUAAAUCGUGAGAGUCAUAACUCUGCACAGUAAGCGGUGUAUACGGGGAGACUGCAAUAAGCUCUAGUGCUUGCGCAGCUGACGGUCCAGUCCAACAAUGGCAGGAUCGUCACCCCACCAAUACAUACAUACAUACAUACAAUGUUUAUAGCCGAAAAUAGCCAACACGCCGAAUUUUAAAAAUGAUUGUAAUUGCAUGAAAAGUUAAACAAGCAUAGAGUAAUACUUGCAUAAUAGUACGUAAACUCGCAAAUAUUGAUUAUAGCGCAUAAAGCGCCUUAGGAGCCGAUUUUGGGCGGGAAAACCAAAAAUCCUUACAAUGACUUUAAAUAGACAGCAAUGACAAUGAAUAAUUAUCCCGUGAGAGGAAAUUGCUCGAACAUAGACUAUGGCGCAUCUGGUGAAUAGAAAUCAAUUUUAAGCGGGAAAAUUAAAUUCUACUAAUUCCUGGCAAUCUCUCAAUUUUUAAUUUUCCCGCCUAAAAGAUAUUUCAGCGGCACCCGGUACGUAAUCAUUAAUUUUGACGUAGUUUACCCUACCGGCAAGAUUAUUUGUGGUAUAUAAUUAAAUCCAUGCAAUGAUGCAAUUCAUCAAACUUUUAGUUUUCUCUCCCAAAACGCCCAUUUGUGCUACAUGCGAGCAAAACAAUUUCUCUAAUCUUAUCGUAAAGCGUUGUUGAAAUAAAUUGGUGUCGAAAUUUCCUUGCAAAAAACAGUUUUCACAACUCGGCGUGUUGGCUAGAUAUAGCCACUUGGCUAUAAAUUUAUUUUGCAUCCAUUUCUAAUAUUAUUUCCUAAGAGACAAUUUAUCUUCCCGCCUAAAGGGCGGGUUCUUGACUCAUAACUCUUGCUUUGCUUUGCUUGGAGAGGCAAUGACCUAAUUUUUUUCCGGAUACGACACAUAGUCGUAGGCCGGUGUGAACGGAAAAUACGCCACAUAGUCGUAUCCGUUGUCAAGGGUCAAUACGACACAUCGUCGAAUUCCGGUGCCAAGGGAACCGGCGCCACAUGGUCGUAUUCGGUGUAAAGGUCAAAUACGCCACAUAGUCGUUAUAGGGGCGAAGUGGUUAACCAUUGCUAAAGCAAAAAGAUUUUUUUUUGUACAAGUAUUCCUAUUUUUCGGUAUAAAAUCUGAGCAAACAUGACAGAAUUCGCUACUGCCAAUCCUAAGUUACAGUAAUUAUCUAACUCCACCAUUAAUUUAAUUACAGGUUUCCUCCAUCUAUUCCUUACAAUAACCAUUUUGAAAGAAAUGUAGGAAGAUUCGGAUAUGCCUUGCUUUCUCCCAUCACCACGAUUUACGCAGUCCUCGUUACAAUCGAUUACGUCAUAAUUUUCUUUAAAGCCCCCGCGUUGGCGGAAUGGCUAAAUAAUUGGAAUGCCAUUGAAAAUGAAAUGCAAAAAAUGGGCCUUCCCCGUGACAAAAUUAAAAUUGAUUCAUUUCUCCUCUGGUUUAUCCCAACGUUCGAAUUUGCACCAGCCCUAAUUUUUAAAAUCAUGGAAACAAUAGGGCGGUUGAAUAUUGGAUAUCCGAUUCACUGCGUACUAAGCGUCGUUUACGGAUGUCUUCCAUACAUCUGUUAUGCUAUUGAAGAUUCGAAGGCAUUGCUGAUGCUGAAAUGCUUACAAGUUGGGUUCCUUCAGGUCCGCAGUUAUCUCGAAGAAAACUUGAAAGUCCAUCACCAAUUUCCUAUUGAAAAAAUUCACAAUCUUUUGAUUAAUCUUCGUCUGCAAACGCAAAAUUGUGGCGAUUACUUGGCCACUCAGCAACUCUUUUCCAUCUUAAUGACGUUGUAUUCCACGGGGGUGUCAUUCUACGCAUUUGUGGCCGUUAUGUCGAACGAAUCGGUCGGGGGAGGUGCCGAGAAGACAAUUCUGUUGGUAUUUGUCUCUAUUUGGCCAUUGUACGCGAGGAGUCGACUUUAUACGAAAGUUUACAUUGCGGUGAAAAUAACUAAAGAGGAAAAAAGGAUUGCGGACAUUAUUAAAUUUGAGAAGCGAAAGAUGAAACGAGGAACAUUCGGGUCGGAUGAGUACUCUUCCGAGAUGUGCAUUAUACAGCUACAAGAAGUCUACAACUUAUUGACCCUUGAACCUACCGAGGUUUCCUUCAAUGACUAUGUGAAAUUAAAUAACCCUUUAAUUUUGGGGGUGUUUCAACAAAUUUUUACCCUCAUCAUUAUUCUCAUGCAGUUUCCUAAGUAACGCACUUCAUUUCAGCACGAGAUCAAUUAUUUCAGACUAGUUGUUGUUCGGAUUGCGAGUUGAGGCACGGAAAAUUCUUCACAAAUCUCCACAAAUUACGAAUGAAUUUUGGUUACGAAGAUCCACCACACGUACAUAAAUGGAAUUAUACGUAUCUUCACAAACACUUCAAAAUAUUUAUAUUUAAGUAAUUAUUUAUCGAUAAAUUUGAUCUAAUUUUCCCAUUAUAUUUUGUUAUAAAUUGUUAGCAGAUUCUUGUAUCUAAAUAAUGAAAAUGUAUGUAAACGUAUGAAAUUUGUUCAUGAAAUUAGGCAAAUUGGGACUCUCUGUUUUUGACUUUUGCUUCUCGGUUUCUUUUACACUACAAAAUGCAAGACCAACAAAUAUAUAGAAGCAAUACGCUCUUAGAAGUCUGGAUAUAUUAUAGUCAGGUAGGUAUUGAUUUCUCGGCGUUAAUAGUGCUACUGCUUGGUACAACAAUUUAUUAAUGAGUAGCCUGGUCGCUCCACAAGUAGAUACAUACAUACAUACUCAAAUAUUAAUGACUUCCGAGCAUAGCAAGUAAUUGGUCAGUAUGAGACGAUUAAUGUUGUUAUUUAUCUCACAAAUUUCACUCAUGAUGAAUGGGUAUUGCCCAUUGUAAAUAUUUACAUGCACGUAUAAAAAUUUUUCUUAUGUACUAAAUUUCACAUGAAAUAUUCUACAUUUCCACAUGUUAUGUGUGAUACAAGGAGAUAUGUAUUAGCCAACUAAUGAAAUACAUAUGUAUUGCAGA